rnacentral:rRNA from 1 species
CUGGAGGUAUCAGAAGUGCGAAUGCUGACAUAAGUAACGAUAAAGCGGGUGAAAAGCCCGCUCGCCGGAAGACCAAGGGUUCCUGUCCAACGUUAAUCGGGGCAGGGUGAGUCGACCCCUAAGGCGAGGCCGAAAGGCGUAGUCGAUGGGAAACAGGUUAAUAUUCCUGUACUUGGUGUUACUGCGAAGGGGGGACGGAGAAGGCUAUGUUGGCCGGGCGACGGUUGUCCCGGUUUAAGCGUGUAGGCUGGUUUUCCAGGCAAAUCCGGAAAAUCAAGGCUGAGGCGUGAUGACGAGGCACUACGGUGCUGAAGCAACAAAUGCCCUGCUUCCAGGAAAAGCCUCUAAGCAUCAGGUAACAUCAAAUCGUACCCCAAACCGACACAGGUGGUCAGGUAGAGAAUACCAAGGCGCUUGAGAGAACUCGGGUGAAGGAACUAGGCAAAAUGGUGCCGUAACUUCGGGAGAAGGCACGCUGAUAUGUAGGUGAAGUCCCUUGCGGAUGGAGCUGAAAUCAGUCGAAGAUACCAGCUGGCUGCAACUGUUUAUUAAAAACACAGCACUGUGCAAACACGAAAGUGGACGUAUACGGUGUGACGCCUGCCCGGUGCCGGAAGGUUAAUUGAUGGGGUCAGCGCAAGCGAAGCUCUUGAUCGAA